rnacentral:rRNA from 1 species
UACGUAGGGGGCAAGCGUUAUCCGGAUUUAUUGGGCGUAAAGAGCGUGUAGGCGGUUUGGUAGGUCCGCUGUGAAAACUCGAGGCUCAACCUCGAGACGCCGGUGGAAACCAUCAGACUAGAGUCCGGAAGAGGAGAGUGGAAUUCCUGGUGUAGCGGUGAAAUGCGCAGAUAUCAGGAAGAACACCCGUGGCUAAGGCGGCUCUCUAGUACGGUACUGACGCUGAGACGCGAAAGCGUGGGGAGCGAACAGG